rnacentral:rRNA from 1 species
AACGAACGCUGGCGGCAGGCUUAACACAUGCAAGUCGAGCGCCCCGCAAGGGGAGCGGCAGACGGGUGAGUAACGCGUGGGAAUCUACCCAUCUCUACGGAAUAACGCAUGGAAACGUGUGCUAAUACCGUAUACGUCCUUCGGGAGAAAGAUUUAUCGGAGAUGGAUGAGCCCGCGUUGGAUUAGCUAGUUGGUGGGGUAAAGGCCUACCAAGGCGACGAUCCAUAGCUGGGCUGAGAGGAUGAUCAGCCACACUGGGACUGAGACACGGCCCAGACUACUACGGGAGGCAGCAGUGGGGAAUAUUGGACAAUGGGCGCAAGCCUGAUCCAGCCAUGCCGCGUGAGUGAUGAAGUCCCUACGGUUGUAAAGCUCUUUCACCGGUGAAGAUAAGGACGGUAACCGGAGAAGAAGCCCCGGCUAACUUCGUGCCAGCCGCCGCAGUAACAC